AGCAGCAGCUAGGGGUCCUUUCCGGAAACGCCGGAAACUGGUGAGACAGUCCCUUACUACCUGACACGGAUAAUGCCGCCGUAGGGAAGCUGGGAUGUGACUAU
rnacentral:ncRNA from 2 species